GAGCUCAAUGGAAAGAGCAUCUGCUUUGAAUGCAGAAGGUCCCAGGUUCAAUCCCUGGCAUCUCCA